UGGAUCCAGACUUCGAUCAUGGCUCAGGAUGAACGCUAGCUACAGGCUUAACACAUGCAAGUCGAGGGGAAACGAUAGAGAAAGCUUGCCUUUUCUAGGCGUCGACCGGCGCACGGGUGAGUAACGCGUAUCCAACCUGCCCAUCACUUGGGGAUAACCUUGCGAAAGUAAGACUAAUACCCAAUGAUAUCUCAAGAAGACAUCUGAAUGAGAUUAAAGAUUUAUCGGUGAUGGAUGGGGAUGCGUCUGAUUAGCUUGUUGGCGGGGUAACGGCCCACCAAGGCGACGAUCAGUAGGGGUUCUGAGAGGAAGGUCCCCCACAUUGGAACUGAGACACGGUCCAAACUCCUACGGGAGGCAGCAGUGAGGAAUAUUGGUCAAUGGGCGAGAGCCUGAACCAGCCAAGUAGCGUGCAGGAUGACGGCUCUAUGGGUUGUAAACUGCUUUUAUAAGGGAAUAAAGUGAGCCUCGUGAGGCUUUUUGCAUGUACCUUAUGAAUAAGGACCGGCUAAUUCCGUGCCAGCAGCCGCGGUAAUACGGAAGGUCCGGGCGUUAUCCGGAUUUAUUGGGUUUAAAGGGAGCGUAGGCCGGAGAUUAAGCGUGUUGUGAAAUGUAGAUGCUCAACAUCUGCACUGCAGCGCGAACUGGUUUCCUUGAGUACGCACAAAGUGGGCGGAAUUCGUGGUGUAGCGGUGAAAUGCUUAGAUAUCACGAAGAACUCCGAUUGCGAAGGCAGCUCACUGGAGCGCAACUGACGCUGAAGCUCGAAAGUGCGGGUAUCGAACAGGAUUAGAUACCCUGGUAGUCCGCACGGUAAACGAUGGGUGCCCGCUGUUGGUCUGAAUAGGUCAGCGGCCAAGCGAAAGCAUUAAGCAUCCCACCUGGGGAGUACGCCGGCAACGGUGCAACUCAAAUGAAUUGACGGA
rnacentral:rRNA from 2 species